AUGGCUCCUGUGCAUGUGUGGGCA
rnacentral:rRNA from 1 species